GUGGAGACAGGUUUGCUUUGUACCAAAGAUUCCCACUACCAAUCAAACAAAAACAUUAAAGCAUUGAUAACAUCCACACUUCACCGACCCCUCAUAAUUGAGGCAUGAGAGAAAAACAGUCAGCUGGGUAAAGAGGGAGCAUCACAACAAACCAUCUUCUUCACAUGGUGAUGAGGAGAGAAAAUUUUAUCUCUGAACAGGGAUCCAAACCUGUCUUACACGGCUACGAGGACCAAAGUUUGGGCCACUGUUCUGAGCAAAAAGAUAACCAUGGCUCCUUGAUUCUUGCACAUCUCUGGAUAGGACAUCAUGCAAAGCUUGAGGUGGAGACCAGAUCCAGUUUGGGGGAAGGUUGCGCUGAGACUUUAGCUGGGCAAUCAAGUGUGCUGCUCCGUUUCCAGCUCUAGCAAUCCAGCUGAAACUCCAUUGAGGGAAUUGUUCACUCCACUUCUUGAUAUCUUCUACAAUUGUCCCUAUUUCUCCUUUUUGUUUUUCCCCUUUGCAAGACUGUAUCAGAUCCAGACUGUCUGACUCAAAAACUACUUUCUUUAAAUCCAGGUUAAUUGCCAUGAGGACAGCUUCUCUAAGGGUGAGGGCUUCAGCAAUGAGAGCAGAAGAUGCAUGUAGAAUCCGGGCUGAACCGCAGAAUAAACAGAGCCCCCUGGAGAGGCCAUUCGCUUCUAUACAGUGCAUGUGCUCAAACUUCAGAUUUCUUCUCAUAUUCUCUGCCCUUUCCAAUGGUGCCCGUGUCUCCAUAAGAAAGAGAAUGGCUGGCUGGAUCUUAAACUUUAGAUCCUUUAAUUCCUGAACUGCCGCGGCCGCCGCCAUACCCCGACAGUUCCAAGCAAUGAUACUCAUGGCGAGAUUGGGGGCAUGGGCAGGCCCGCCUCCUCAGCCAUUUUUGUAACUGUGGUGUCUUUUUGUUCCAUGAUCAGCUGCAUUCCCUGUGAUAAGGUAAUCCUCUUCUUGAUUGUUCUCUCAAUGAUCUCUUCAUUCAUCAGUUCAACAUUGUCAUAUGGUCUUUUCAAAGAGAGACUAGUAGAAAGGCUUGUUACUAGUUGUGAUUCACACUCACUUGACACCCUGUGUUCCUGGACCGUAACCUGGUUUUCCUCCUCUGGUGGGAACUCCACAAAAUAUUCCUGCUCUUUCUGUUUCUGAUUGUCUGUGGCCUGGGCCAUUGGCUGCUUUUCUGCACCUAUGUUACUGUAGGAACCUUCCUUUUGCAUGUUUGGUUGUUUGUUUGCAGAGGUUGUCUUUGGAACAUUGUGAGUUAUGGCAUUGAUGUUGAAUUGAGUGGGCAGGUAAACCUUUUGUUCCAAGUCCUCUUGCACUUUUGCAUUCUUGUAACUGGGAAAGAUGGACUGUAGAUCCUUGAGCACCUGCUCAUAAUGUCUCAAAUUUUCCCUCCUUCCUGGUUGGUUUUCUAGCAGCCAUUUUUCCUUUAAUCGUGCAGCUUCCUCAGGGGUUAUGAUUGAUCCAAGUAGUCGUGGUGGGCUAGUCUUAUCUUGUAGGAUCACCUUCUCCUUUAGACCUAUGUGCUCUUUGUGUAAACCCAGAUCCUCUAUAUUCUCUGGUUCAAGUCCCGGUCUGAUCCGUCCUUCUCGGAGGUCAAUUCUGGUUAAAGAGACAGUUGGUUCCUUUGAGGUGUGUGGGGCAGUACAGGUUGUUUCUUUUUGGCUACUAGCUUGUGUUUCAGUUUGAACAUGUUGCUCCUUGCUAAUCACUGGCUCCAGAAUUAAAGUUUCCAGGGAGAAGUUCUGGUUUUGGCUUUCAGGAGGGAUGGGUUGUGUGGAGGUAUGUAGUUUUUCUAUUAUUUGGUGUUGGCUCUGGGUGGUUUGUCUAGGAGAGUUUAUGCUUUGGUUUUGGGGAGGGAUCACCUCUGGGCUGAGGUUUGCCAGGGGUUCAUUCUAACGGGAUGUGCUUCUUAUCUCCUGUGAGAUGAUUCUAGUGCUAGGAGGCGCUAGUUUCCUUCUCCAGUAAGUUAGUUCUUUAUCUUCCUCCACUGCUUCCUUGUUGCCCUGUUGUUGUUGCGGUUCACUCUGCACAUCUGGUUGUGAUGGCUCCUUUUCCUGUUGAUUUGUUAUGAUUGAGGUUAAUGAACGAGCUGGUGGAGCUCCCAGGUUUGGACCAUACCUUGCAUGAGAUGGAUUGACAAUGGACAUAGCCUUGGGAGCUUUACACUCUCUUUGUUCAUGACCUAAGAUUCCACAUCUGUAACAGAUUCCCUGAAGCUUUUCAUAUCUUAGGAAAGCCCAUGUCUUUGGCAGAUCCUUGAGUGGUAUCCAGAAGCCAGUGGGUAGGGGCUUUGUAAUGUCUAACAUGACACGGAUCCGGAAGAAAGUUCUCAGCAACUUAUUUUCCACUUUUGGAUUCUCAAUCUCUAUCACCUGCCCAAUCCUGCUUGCAACCUUUGCUACAUUUGGAGUUGUCAUGACAUUUAGGGGUAGCCCAUGUAUCCAGAAAGGAACCCAGUUGAAAUUUACUUCAAAGAUUGAAACUUGGGGUGCCCAGUACUGUAAACUCAGUAGAUGUCCCAUAACGUUCCAAGGGGCCUCAUCCAUCACCUUUGUUGCUGAUUCCUCAUCUGGAAAG